GUGAGACUGCGGAGGGAUCAUU
rnacentral:rRNA from 1 species